CGUGGUGACGGAGAUCGUCCCAUGCCGUCAGCUCGAGGGAGUGCCGUACUCCUCGUGAACACGGACCAGCAGCGGUUGGACUGAAGCCAAAAGGCAGCAGCGGAAGGUGAGUUGAUGUGGGCUUGCUCGCAUUGACAGCUUAUAGCCCUGCUGCAUGGCGCUCCGGUCCGACCGAGGAAGUUGGGCAGCCCUUGCCCGYUGUGGUACACGCCGAAUGGCGGGGCCUCCCAACACGAGUUAUCCGUGCGGUGUGGACUGCAYGCAGUGCUCGCCGUCACGGUGAUCUCGUGGUGGUGAGUGUCACUUGUGUACCAGUGCUGC
rnacentral:rRNA from 1 species